GCAGAAAGGCUGCCUGUUCAUUAGAGA
rnacentral:piRNA from 1 species